GCGGAGGCGGCGCCGAGGACGUGGCCGGGCGCCCCGGGCGCCAGCCGGACCAAGGCCCCGCAAGGUUGUGAGGAUCCCAUGAGACAGAGACAGGGGAGAAGACUGUAUAAAUUAUGAAGCGCCUGCUGUAUGCACUUGAAAUAUUAUCAAGUGUAGGAAAAGCCCUUUGCUAUAAGGCUGCUGUUUUAUGAUUGAAAUUCCUAGUGACUCAUGUGGUGCCUGGCACAGACUACAUGCUCUGGGUGUUUCUGUUGACCUGAACCAUAUUGAAACCCUCUGCAUUAGCUAUAAGAAGGACGUGUGGGCCAAGCAUGGUGAGAAUUGGGCAAGGUAAAGAACAUCCUCAUCCUCUUGAGGCCUCUGGACAUGACACCAAGACGGCCCCCAGUUUGGGGGAUCCAGUAUGACGGCUUGGAGACCCUACUACUUCUGGCAUAGACACUUGAGAGCUGUGAAGGUUAAUCCCAGAGUCCAAGUCCAGGCUCUGUCUGCAGCCGUGCCCAGCCUGGCUAGGGUAAGGGUCUGGGGGUGCCCGAACCCCAGCCCAGCCCACAGAAGGUGACCUUCUCUCAGAAGAAUCCAGGCCACGUGGCUCCCAGACCUGCCGGUGCAGAGUCCACCUCAAGCCCGGCCCCUUGCCUCAUUCCCGAACACUGGCCUUGCCACUUUUGUCCUAAUGACAGAGAAUGAGGUCAGCUUGCUUUGCCACCCACAAAUCACAAUUUUUUAUUCCAGGCAAAGCCUUUCUGUAUCUGAGAUCGGCCCUUGUUAUCUACGGCAAGGUUAUGUUUUCACUGGCUUUGGGUGUUUGCACGUGUGGGAUGAAAAGGGAAGUGGCCCAAAGAGAAUGCGGGUGGGGCCACCCCAUUGCCUGGUUAGGGGCUCUCCAGGAGGACCUCGAAUCAGCUCUAAGCCAUAGGGUGGCAAAAACUUGUAUUCCUGUAUACACAUACACACGCAUGUACACACACACACACACAGGCAAGUGCGUGCACAUGCGCGCACACACACAUCCCAGGAUAUCCUCGUGUUGUUAACAUUUAACGUUCUAAUUUUAAAUUUUGAGGCACCAACUGGCUGUCUUAAGAGGCUCAUUCAGCCUGUCUGCCUUGGAGCUAUUUUAUUUACAAGUCUUUGCGUGGCGUCAAAGGGCUCUGUGUUUCUUGCAGACUGUGUUCGGGUGGUUGAGUGUUUUGGUUUUUGGCCACAGCUGGUUAGUUUUUCCAAAUCUGUAGAUCCAGGUGUGCGUUGAGAAGUUUUUUUUUUUUUUUCUUCCCCCAGCGAGAGAGGUUUCCCAGUGAGCCUCGGAGCCCUCCUAGAAGUUUCCGGCGUCCUACGUGUGAGAGACUGUCAAUUUGGGGGCUGUCGGUGUGCAGCAAGGAGGCGGCAGUGACUCCUCCUAGACAAGGAGAUGCAGAAGGGGCCACACUGGGAGGAGAAUCGCAUAGCAAAUUUAAAACACGGAGUUGAGAACCUGGUUAAUGCAAAGAUAUUAGCAAAGGCAUGAGCCCUUGGUUGUGGUGAAAAAUUGCUUCCUGGGAGCCUCGGGGAGAACCGAGCCUGUGCACGUCUCCCUUUAUUUUGAAAUAGAUUCUUAAAAUACAUGUUCCUCGUCUGAAAAUUACAUCAACUCUUAUUUUCAAGAUCAAUGCCACCCCUUACCUGAUUGCUUACAUUAUCACUUUCUUUUGGUUAAGAGGAAUGAACUUUGUGUCCUUUGAAUAUUAGGAAUUACACCAAAAGUUGCUCUAUAAAUAGCAAGAAACAAAACAGAACAAAAGCAUCAGCUUUCUUGUUGAGUAUUUUUCUUCACAGCCAUUAAAUAUUAUCUUGUCUUGAAGUGAUAAAUUUAGCUAAAACAUUUCUUUACUUUUGGUGGAAAGGGCACGUAUGAAAAAUCCAGCCUUAACCUUGUCUUUGUGGUAAUCAGAUCUAAAAGCUACGAUAUGUAGACACAUUCAGAAAAAAAUGAAACUGCUGUUAUGUAUGAAGCAAAUCACUUGACUAUGUGGGUGAAAUCAUAUUCGAUUUUAAGAAAAUAAAACGAGAGUAUUUCAGUAAGACCACCACACCACGGUCAGAUUUCAAACUGAACUUGAAAUUGUCUCCUCAAAAAUCCUUCAUUCUGCAUGUGAUCACUUUGCAGGCAGCUUGGGUUCUUUGCAAUCAUUUUAAAGAGCAGAUCUGUGAAAUCUUGAUUUUAAAAAGCGUUCCUGCUGUCCUUUGCAAUUUAACAAUGAACCUUUUGAGUUCUAAAUCAGGAUUUAUUUCUUUUCUUUUUUUCUUCUUCAUUCUAAGGGCUUAUAAUUUACCUAGCUCCCUGAGGAACUGUAUGGGUAAGAAAUGAUACCAAAGUUCUCAUUUCAUUUGUGGGGGAGAAAAAAAAAUUGAACUGACUUUCAGCAGUAUUUUUAAAAAUUUAAAAAUAAACAUUUGACAGUUUUUAAAGUUUAAAAUUGCUUUAAAUGUUAAAUAGCUAAAGUCUGCUUAGAUGUGAUUCAAAAAGACUACGUAAUUAUUGAAAUAAUAACGAUUUCAGGCUCCAUACAAAGGAUUGAUAAGAUGCAAAAAUAUUUCAAAUAAAAAAAAUUUCAAAUAAAUCAAGGCUUUUCAACUGUGAAAUGAAGGCAUUCCUUGAAUAUGGGGGGGAGAAAUUCUUUUCAGAUUUUCUGUCUUUUCAUUUUUGCAGAAAUAGGUAACUCUUUCACUGGAAACUUAAAUUCUAAAUUCCAAUCUGUUUUUAAUUGCUAAUAUAAAUUUGCUAUACGUGGCCACUAAAUUCUUUAGGAAAAUGUCCAUUUCCUAAUUAAUGAUGAUUCCAUUUUAGAGAUUGCAGAAUUGAACAACUGAAAUAAAUUCAGUGCUCACUUCUCUUUGAGAGUUAAUUUUGAUUUUUAAAAACCUUAUUUUGUUCUGUGCUUUUUGUCAUUCCUUGUAGAAUGCUGAGAACCUCACUUUGGCAUUUGGUAAUGCAUGUAUAACUAGAGGUAUUGGCCUGUCAUCCUUAAUUCAUUUCUUCUGAUUUGUGUUGUUACUACUUCAGUAUGAAAAAGAUUCAGUGCAAUUCCUCAUCUGUAAGAGGAAAUUUUUGAUACCAGCAUGUCAAUAUUAUAUAAGGCAUAGUCAUAUAUAUAUGUAUAUGUGAUCGAACACUAAUAUUUAUUGCAAACUUCUGGUUGUUUUACACUUUCCUUUUAUUUGAGAAAAAUUAACCUCUUACGAGUGCUUUCAGGGUUGUUAGACUUUUUUUUAAUAUACAUAGACAGGUAACACAUCAUGAAAGGUGAAUGUGUGGACUUCUAAAAUGACAAAAUAGCUGCUCACAGAUUCCUAAACAGACCUGUGAAUACAUGGGUAGGGAGUUACUACCCAUCGGUCAGGAGGGAGCAUGGGGCAUGCUACUGAUCAUCCUCAGGGCAGGCACACUAAGUCUGUUCCCUCUCUGUCUCUCUCUACACACACACACACACACGCGCGCACACACACACAUUUUUUAAAGGAAAGAUACAGAAAUGGUCUGCCGGCAUGCUGUUUUUUUUUUGUUUUGUUUUUGUUUUGUUUUGGUGGGGGAGGUGGCUGCUAAUGUAGAGGUCUGGCCUCUGCUUUCUUCCUCAAACAUGCUUGUCCUAUGGCCAGAGUUUUAUUUCAGUUGCUAGUGAACUAAUGUCAAGGUUAGACAUGAAAUGGGGUGAACUAAAGCAAAAGAUUUUUGAAAAUGCUUCAUUAUGUUGGCAAGAAGGAACCCUUUCCGGGGUGCUUGCUCGCAUUUACUUACCCAGCCCGAGACCCUAACUCGAUCUUUCCCUUGUUUUACCUGUAGUGACACUAGCAGGCUUCUUUCCCCCCUUGUCCCUUCCUCAACUUAGCUCCGCAAGAGGAAAAAGAAAAAAAAAAAAAAAAGCUUACCCAAAGGAAAUUGAUGCCAAUGGGUUUGUGCGCAAAUCACCGAGAGUACAAACGAAGCCUUCAUAAAGUAGGGGUGCAAGUUAUGACAAAAUAGGCAGAUCGAAAUGGAAUCCCACACCGGCAAACUACUUUGAGACAAAAGCAACAAGAACAACAACAACAAAAAGAAGAAGACGAAGAGGAGGAGGAGGAGGAGGAGGAGGAGGAGGAGAAAGAAGAAGAAGAAGAAGAAGAAGAAGAAGAAGAAGAAGAAGAAGAAGAAGAAGAAGAAGAAGAAGAAGAAGAAAAUAAAAAAGAAAAAAAUCAUAAGCCUGGUUUGCCUUUACACGCAGCACCCAGAGCCUCCUAGCAGCUCCUCAAAAGCACAUUGUGUGGGAUGACUGAGGAAGGGGCAUCUUACCCAGGAGCCGCCACGCUCUGACAAUCUCAAGCUCAUUGGGCCAGCUCUGCAAACAUCAUUAUUCUUGAGUGUGCAAGCUGAAUGAGUGUGCAAGUCGAACGUUCAAAACCCAAGUGAAAAUGUAAGUUUUCACUCACACGCAUCCUGCUUGCUUUAAUUAGAUUAAAUGCAUCUGUUUACUAAGUCCUUGGAAUGCCUUGGAUACUGACAUUUUUUAACUGUUACAAGCCGCUGAGCUGAGAAAUAGAGAUAGUAAACUGGAGUGUCCGCGGCCUUCCUAGGCUGGUCUGAGGCCGGAGGCUGAGCCGGGGACACGGGGGCUCAGGGGCAGAGCAGGAAGUCACCAACUGCAUUCCCAUCAGGCAGAUCUUGGGAUAAAUCAGGAAAAAAUAACUGUAUAAGGCUGAUACUGUAAACAUCCGGAUCUAUCAAGAGCCUUCCUAGGACUUAUUUUUUCGAGAUCUGACCUCAGGCGUGGUGUGGUCCGCAGGCACAAGCCCGAGUUCUUCCAGGAAAACUGUCCGCCGUAGCACUCACCAACAAAGUAAAUCUUCCAGGUUUCCUUUUCGAUAAUUUGAACACGCUUUUUAAUAUUAUUUACUCUGAAUAACGUAGUUUGAUAGCAAGUUGGAAAAAGACCUCGUAAAACCAACCUGCAUAAUGCCCAAUGGAAUUACCUGAGUGCUAUUAUUUUCCUUGAAUAAAGGAGAAUUUGAUUUCUGAAUUUGCAACCAAAUUAUAUGUAAAUGCUUGCCAAGUGUAGCGGGGGAUAAAAAAAAAAAGGUGUGUGUUCUCAAAUAUUGUUCUGACUCACCCAGUUCCUUGUUUUACCAAAUAAAAAUUGGGAGGAGGAAAGUGGCAUUAAAUUAACUUAUUACUGUGUGUGAGAGCAAGAAAAAAAAAAUCAGCUAAUAAAAAGGUUAGCAAGUC